ensembl:snRNA U6 U6 spliceosomal RNA
GUGCUCUCUUUGGUAGCACAUAUUCUAAAAUUGAAACGAUACAGAGAAGAUUAGCAUGGCCCCUGUGCAAGGAUGACAUGCAAAUUUGUGAAGCGUUCCAUAUUUAA